rnacentral:tRNA from 1 species
GGGCGAGUGGCGGAAUUGGUAUACGCGUGCGCCUUAGGAGCGCAUUCCCUAAAGGAUUGGGAGUUCAAGUCUCCCCUCGCCCA